rnacentral:rRNA from 1 species
AAAAGUCGUAACAAGGUUUCCGUAGGUGAACCUGCGGAAGGACAUUAUCGAGCGAAUCCAAAACGAACGAAAAAGUCUCCCAACGUGCAUACCUUCCAUUUGCAUGUUGUUGUGAGCCACAUGGAAACUCGUACACACGUGGUGGCAGCCGUCUGCUGUGCUUUUUUUAGGCAGACAAUGGCUUACGAGUGGCCGUGUGCUUGUUGAACAACGGUGACCAAUUUGGCGUCUACGCCGUAUCUAGCUUCUGCCUGGACCGUCAGUUGCGAUGAAAGAUGCGGAGAAAGUUCCUUUGUUUUGGCUGCUAAUCAUCAUUGAUGAGCAGUAGCUUAAGGCAGAGUUGAGCAGACUUAAUGAGCCACGCUAGGUGGCCGCCAAAACCCAAAACACAACCGGUCUAUUUGACAUUGUUAUUUCAUUGUAUGUGUUGAAAAUGUACAAAUCUUGGCGGUGGAUCACUCGGUUCGUGGAUCGAUGAAGAACGCAGCCAGCUGCGAUAAAUAGUGCGAAUUGCAGACACAUUGAGCACUAAGAAUUCGAACGCACAUUGCGCUAUCGGGUUCAUUCCCGAUGGCACGUCUGGCUGAGGGUCGAAUUACGGUGAACUGUCUUCACGGUUUUUCUGGACUGUGAAGCAUUCGGCAAGCAAUUGCUGUUGUGUUGUUGGUGAUUCUAUCAUGGACAAUAUGACGAGCGGUUCCUUGCUUAGUGAUGACAAAAGAAGACGUCAACACCGAAUCUACUAUACUACUAAUACUAGUAUAUAGGUGAGGUGCUUUUGGUGGUCACAAAAGUGACAAGUAUGCCAUUUCAUAGGGGCAACAACCAGCAUACGUGAUAAGUUGGCUGGUUGAUGAAACGGCAACGGAAUGACGGACGGCUAUGUGAUCAAAAAUGAUACUAUUUGACCUCAGCUCAGUCGUGAUUACCCGCUGAAUUUAAGCAUAUAAUUAAGCGGAGGAAAGAAACUAAA